rnacentral:lncRNA from 1 species
CCUCAAUACCGCUGUGCUAUUGAAUAAUAGAAUGACGCAUAUGAGCAAGAAGAGGGAUUGCUAUAUGGUGCUGGAAUAGCUGAUUAACUGAUAAAAAUUGCGACGUCAGGGAUGUACGCCAGCCAAAUGCUCGGAUGGCAAUCGCCCAUGGACUGCACGCGGUAACUCCACUAUUUCCGGCGGAAAUCGUUUGAAAAAAUUUUAAAGUGUACUUGAAAACAUAAAUAAAAUAUCCUCCAAGUUUAAA